rnacentral:rRNA from 1 species
UACGUAGGGGGCAAGCGUUGUCCGGAAUGACUGGGCGUAAAGCGCGCGCAGGCGGUUUCUUGCGUCUGAGGUGAAAGUUCAGGGCUCAACCCUGAGAUUGCCUUGGAAACGGGGGAACUUGAGGGUCGGAGAGGUCAGGGGAAUUCCACGUGUAGCGGUGAAAUGCGUAGAUAUGUGGAGGAAUACCAGUGGCGAAGGCGCCUGACUGGACGAAACCUGACGCUGAGGCGCGAAGGCGUGGGGAGCAAACAGG